AAGGUUAAGCCUCACGGUUCAUUAGUACCGGUUAGCUCAACGCAUCGCUGCGCUUACACACCCGGCCUAUCAACGUCGUCGUCUUCAACGUUCCUUCAGGACUCUCAAGGAGUCAGGGAGAACUCAUCUCGGGGCAAGUUUCGUGCUUAGAUGCUUUCAGCACUUAUCUCUUCCGCAUUUAGCUACCGGGCAGUGCCAUUGGCAUGACAACCCGAACACCAGUGAUGCGUCCACUCCGGUCCUCUCGUACUAGGAGCAGCCCCCCUCAGUUCUCCAGCGCCCACGGCAGAUAGGGACCGAACUGUCUCACGACGUUCUAAACCCAGCUCGCGUACCACUUUAAAUGGCGAACAGCCAUACCCUUGGGACCUACUUCAGCCCCAGGAUGUGAUGAGCCGACAUCGAGGUGCCAAACACCGCCGUCGAUAUGAACUCUUGGGCGGUAUCAGCCUGUUAUCCCCGGAGUACCUUUUAUCCGUUGAGCGAUGGCCCUUCCAUUCAGAACCACCGGAUCACUAUGACCUGCUUUCGCACCUGCUCGCGCCGUCACGCUCGCAGUCAAGCUGGCUUAUGCCAUUGCACUAACCUCCUGAUGUCCGACCAGGAUUAGCCAACCUUCGUGCUCCUCCGUUACUCUUUAGGAGGAGACCGCCCCAGUCAAACUACCCACCAGACACUGUCCGCAACCCGGAUUACGGGUCAACGUUAGAACAUCAAACAUUAAAGGGUGGUAUUUCAAGGUCGGCUCCAUGCAGACUGGCGUCCACACUUCCAAGCCUCCCACCUAUCCUACACAUCAAGGCUCAAUGUUCAGUGUCAAGCUAUAGUAAAGGUUCACGGGGUCUUUCCGUCUUGCCGCGGGUACACUGCAUCUUCACAGCGAGUUCAAUUUCACUGAGUCUCGGGUGGAGACAGCCUGGCCAUCAUUACGCCAUUCGUGCAGGUCGGAACUUACCCGACAAGGAAUUUCGCUACCUUAGGACCGUUAUAGUUACGGCCGCCGUUUACCGGGGCUUCGAUCAAGAGCUUCGCUUGCGCUGACCCCAUCAAUUAACCUUCCGGCACCGGGCAGGCGUCACACCGUAUACGUCCACUUUCGUGUUUGCACAGUGCUGUGUUUUUAAUAAACAGUUGCAGCCAGCUGGUAUCUUCGACUGAUUUCAGCUCCAUCCGCGAGGGACUUCACCUACAUAUCAGCGUGCCUUCUCCCGAAGUUACGGCACCAUUUUGCCUAGUUCCUUCACCCGAGUUCUCUCAAGCGCCUUGGUAUUCUCUACCUGACCACCUGUGUCGGUUUGGGGUACGAUUUGAUGUUACCUGAUGCUUAGAGGCUUUUCCUGGAAGCAGGGCAUUUGUUGCUUCAGCACCGUAGUGCCUCGUCAUCACGCCUCAGCCUUGAUUUUCCGGAUUUGCCUGGAAAACCAGCCUACACGCUUAAACCGGGACAACCGUCGCCCGGCCAACAUAGCCUUCUCCGUCCCCCCUUCGCAGUAACACCAAGUACAGGAAUAUUAACCUGUUUCCCAUCGACUACGCCUUUCGGCCUCGCCUUAGGGGUCGACUCACCCUGCCCCGAUUAACGUUGGACAGGAACCCUUGGUCUUCCGGCGAGCGGGCUUUUCACCCGCUUUAUCGUUACUUAUGUCAGCAUUCGCACUUCUGAUACCUCCAGCAUGCCUCACAGCACACCUUCACAGGCUUACAGAACGCUCCCCUACCCAACAACGCAUAAGCGUCGCUGCCGCAGCUUCGGUGCAUGGUUUAGCCCCGUUACAUCUUCCGCGCAGGCCGACUCGACCAGUGAGCUAUUACGCUUUCUUUAAAUGAUGGCUGCUUCUAAGCCAACAUCCUGGCUGUCUGGGCCUUCCCACAUCGUUUCCCACUUAACCAUGACUUUGGGACCUUAGCUGGCGGUCUGGGUUGUUUCCCUCUUCACGACGGACGUUAGCACCCGCCGUGUGUCUCCCGUGAUAACAUUCUCCGGUAUUCGCAGUUUGCAUCGGGUUGGUAAGUCGGGAUGACCCCCUUGCCGAAACAGUGCUCUACCCCCGGAGAUGAAUUCACGAGGCGCUACCUAAAUAGCUUUCGGGGAGAACCAGCUAUCUCCCGGUUUGAUUGGCCUUUCACCCCCAGCCACAAGUCAUCCGCUAAUUUUUCAACAUUAGUCGGUUCGGUCCUCCAGUUAGUGUUACCCAACCUUCAACCUGCCCAUGGCUAGAUCACCGGGUUUCGGGUCUAUACCCUGCAACUUAACGCCCAGUUAAGACUCGGUUUCCCUUCGGCUCCCCUAUUCGGUUAACCUUGCUACAGAAUAUAAGUCGCUGACCCAUUAUACAAAAGGUACGCAGUCACACGCCUAAGCGUGCUCCCACUGCUUGUACGUACACGGUUUCAGGUUCUUUUUCACUCCCCUCGCCGGGGUUCUUUUCGCCUUUCCCUCACGGUACUGGUUCACUAUCGGUCAGUCAGGAGUAUUUAGCCUUGGAGGAUGGUCCCCCCAUAUUCAGACAGGAUACCACGUGUCCCGCCCUACUCAUCGAGCUCACAGCAUGUGCAUUUUUGUGUACGGGGCUGUCACCCUGUAUCGCGCGCCUUUCCAGACGCUUCCACUAACACACAUACUGAUUCAGGCUCUGGGCUGCUCCCCGUUCGCUCGCCGCUACUGGGGGAAUCUCGGUUGAUUUCUUUUCCUCGGGGUACUUAGAUGUUUCAGUUCCCCCGGUUCGCCUCAUUAACCUAUGGAUUCAGUUAAUGAUAGUGUGACGAAUCACACUGGGUUUCCCCAUUCGGAAAUCGCCGGUUAUAACGGUUCAUAUCACCUUACCGACGCUUAUCGCAGAUUAGCACGUCCUUCAUCGCCUCUGACUGCCAGGGCAUCCACCGUGUACGCUUAGUCGCUUAA
rnacentral:rRNA from 1 species